rnacentral:lncRNA from 1 species
AGAUAUUCCACACACAAUAAAAUUAGGAAAGCAACUACAUAAAAUAUCGUUGACAGCAGUACCCAGCUUUACUCAUGUCUACGUAGAUUUACUUUUGUGCACUUGAACAAAUCAUUAGUCACUUGUGACCUUCUUCGAUGGUGUGGAGGUGGCCGUGAACAUUCCCAUCAAUCAAUCAUAAGUAAUUCAAGAGAUCUUCUUGGAAUAUGUGAAAUAGAAUAUGCUUCUUAUUAGUUUGCUUCAGACGCCUUCGUACAGCAAAGGUGGCACCUUAUCUUUGACCCAAUAGGUCGUCCUCCAAAAGGCAUUGUUAGGACCUUCCUCUUCCUGCUCACGCUGAUUCCCGGGCUCAGUUAACCAUUAAAACUGAGUUCAACAUCAAAACUGGAAGAACCCAUACCGCCGGCGCUUCUUCUUCCUAUGGUUGCUUUCUUCUCUUGCUUGGUUGAUUCAAUCCACACACUUAGGAUGGAUACCACUCGGGUAAGGUUCACAAAAACUCAAGCAGUUUGGGUGGAGAAGAAAUCACGAAGAAGAUGAAGGCAGAAGACACGGCUGGACACGGCAGUUUCUUUUUCCUCACGGCUUCAAUUUUGGACGGUACCAACAAAGGCAAAAACACCAAUAUAUAUAGUAAGUCAAGUGGCCAACAUAAGGUAAGUCGGGAUAUGGUAAGUAGGCUCGACUAGGGUUAACUUCCAAUGGAAGAAAUCAACAAGCCACAAAGAAUAUUAGCCGUCCAAUAGGUAAG